rnacentral:rRNA from 1 species
UGGGGAAUCUUGCGCAAUGGCCUAACGGCUGACGCAGCGACGCCGCGUGUGGGAUGAAGCUCCUCGGAGUGUAAACCACUGUUGCCCGGGACGAAUAGCUCGAUUAAUCGAGCCUGACGGUACCGGGUGAGGAAGCACCGGCUAACUCCGUGCCAGCAGCCGCGGUAAUACGGGGGGUGCGAGCGUUGUCCGGAAUCACUGGGCGUAAAGGGCGCGUAGGUGGUUUGAUAAGGGUGUGGUGAAAGUCCGGGGCUCAACCCCGGAUCUGCCGUGCCGACUGUCAAACUCGAGGGCUGUAGAGGCAGACGGAAUUCCGGGUGUAGCGGUGGAAUGCGUAGAGAUCCGGAGGAAGACCGGUGGCGAAGGCGGUCUGCUGGGCAGUUUCUGACACUGAUGCGCGACAGCGUGGGGAGCAAACAGG